GCCUGAGAUCCGACGGGACCCCCUCGCGGGGGGAUCGGGUGAUCCUAUGCUGCCGAGAAAAGCAUCGACGCGAGGUCCCAGCCGCCCGUACCCCAAACCGACACAGGUGAUCAGGUAGAGAAUACCAAGGCGUUCGAGAGAAUCACGGUCAAGGAACUCGGCAAAAUGCCCCCGUAACUUCGGGAGAAGGGGGACCCCGGCCCUGGACAGGACACGCUCCUGCGAGGGGGUAGGGGUCGCAGAGACCAGGGGGAAGCGACUGUUUACUAAAAACACAGGUCCGUGCGAAGUCGCAAGACGAUGUAUACGGACUGACUCCUGCCCGGUGCUGGAAGGUUAAGAGGACCCGUCAGCUCUCGCGAGCGAAGCGGAGAAUUCAAGCCCCAGUAAACGGCGGUGGUAACUAUAACCAUCCUAAGGUAGCGAAAUUCCUUGUCGGGUAAGUUCCGACCUGCACGAAUGGAGUAACGACUUCCCCGCUGUCUCGACCGUGAACUCGGCGAAAUUGCACUACGAGUAAAGAUGCUCGUUACGCGCAGCAGGACGGAAAGACCCCGAGACCUUCACUACAGUUUGGUAUUGGUGUUCGGAGCGGCUUGUGUAGGAUAGGUGGGAGACUGUGAAGCCGGCACGCCAGUGCCGGUGGAGUCAUCGUUGAAAUACCACUCUGGUCGCUUUGGACACCUCAACCUCGGCCCGUGAUCCGGGUCAGGGACAGUGCCUGACGGGUAGUUUAACUGGGGCGGUUGCCUCCCAAAGAGUAACGGAGGCGCCCAAAGGUCCCCUCAGCCUGGUCGGCAACCAGGUGGCGAGUGCAAGUGCACAAGGGGGCUUGACUGUGAGAGAGGCAUCUCGAGCAGGGACGAAAGUCGGGACUAGUGAUCCGGCGGCACCUCGUGGAAGGGCCGUCGCUCAACGGAUAAAAGGUACCUCGGGGAUAACAGGCUGAUCUUGCCCAAGAGUCCAUAUCGACGGCAUGGUUUGGCACCUCGAUGUCGGCUCGUCGCAUCCUGGGGCUGGAGUAGGUCCCAAGGGUUGGGCUGUUCGCCCAUUAAAGCGGUACGCGAGCUGGGUUUAGAACGUCGUGAGACAGUUCGGUCCCUAUCCGCUGCGCGCGCAGGAAAUCUGAGAAGGGCUGUCCCCAGUACGAGAGGACCGGGACGGACGAACCUCUGGUGUGCCAGUUGUACCGCCAGGUGCACGGCUGGUUGGCUACGUUCGGAUGGGAUAACCGCUGAAGGCAUCUAAGCGGGAAGCCCGCUUCAAGAUGAGAUUUCCAUCCACCGCAAGGUGGGAGAGGCCCCCAGCAGACCACUGGGUUGAUAGGCCGGACGUGGAAGCGAGGACUGACGACUCGUGAAGCCGACCGGUACUAAUAGGCCGACAACCUGAAACAC
rnacentral:rRNA from 1 species